AAUCUUGUCAACUUAAUUGCAUUGGUUAUGGAGAAAAACCUUUUCACAGGAUUCAUCCCCUAUCAAUUCGCAAAGCUUCAAAAGCUACAGUUAUUGGCUUUAGGUGGAAAUAGAUUGUCAGGUGAAAUUCCAUCCUCUAUAGGUAACCUCACUCAGUUGUCAAUUCUGGACCUGUCAAAUAACAAAUUAGAAGCAAGUAUUCCUUCAAGUAUUCGAAAUUGCCAAACAUUGUACGAUUUGGACAUUUCAAAAAACAGUCUCAGCGGAGAGGUGCCCAGGGAAGUUCUAGGCCUUAUUUCUUUAUCCCAUGUACUAAACUUAUCUCAAAACUCUUUCACUGGGAACUUGCCAACAGAAGUGGGAAAGCUUAAA
rnacentral:misc_RNA from 1 species